GGUCUGCGUGUGCUUAGAACUAGACUAGUCUAUUACUAUUAGUUCAUCGUCGAUCCGUCGUCCCAUGCCCUCCUCAGAGACAGACCACGCCACAGAAGCCGCUAAAAUGGUGUUUUCGAGAUGUUUUAAGAGGGGCAGGUAGACACUUGAUGACAAUCAACGCAAAGGCACAAGGUCACUGUCAAGAUAAAGGAGAAAUGGCAUGUGUACUCCACCGAUUGUGAGAAGGGGCUCUUGAUUAUCCUUUGAAAAAAGUGGUAGAUCAAGUUGAUCCAGUGUAACAGUAGCAGCAAAUCUAUGAGAUUUCAUAUGGGAUCCCUUUAAGUACAAGGUCUACGCAGCUUCACACACGCACUGAGAGGGACCUGGCAGAGGCUAAUAGCAUGGCCCUUGGUAUGAUCAGCCUAAGGUUAAGGUUGAUUCAACGAGACAUUAAAUGGAGAUUUUUCAGUGAAUAUUUUUUUAAUGUUUAAUUCCAGAUAUUUAAUUGUCUCAAGUAAAAAAAUAUGUGUUCACUAGUGUUGAUUUGAAAAAAAAAGCUCCUGCUGUGGCAAUCGAAAAGAGCGCUAUAUUUUGAUUUCUUACAAAGAAGUUUCAGAACCUAUGACUAUAAAAUUUCACACUUUAUAUCUAAAGGGUUUAAUUAUUUAAAAUAAUUUGCAAGUUUCUUGGAGGUUACACAAAUUUGAAAAAGUGUAAUUUGUAAGAGUUUACAGAACUCAAUAUCACUGUAUUUUGAUGAUAUUUAAUUUGGGUUUGAAUUAGAGCAAACAAUUUAAGAUUAUACAAGUUAAACAAAUAGGGUGUGUAGUUUGAUAAAUGUGGGAUAUCCAUUUGUUUCAUUAUACUACAAAUUUUUGUGAAAGGUCGAUCAUCCACUAUUGUUGGAGGAAACCUCACAAAACCUCACCCUAAAGAAUAAGCGUAGGUAUUCUGAAAAGUGAGAUGUAUUUCUGCCGGCCCUAUGAUGUACAAAAUUCCUUACGAAAA
rnacentral:lncRNA from 1 species